UGGACAAAUUAUUGUAUUCGAUUGUAUUCAACAGGGGAUUGCACUAUUUUUGAACGAAAAAUGAAUCAAUUAACAUAAUAGACUCCU
rfam:Nicotiana sylvestris Nsyl_contig4547, whole genome shotgun sequence.